ACCUAGAGCACAGACAAGGCACCAUCCACCUACAGUUUGAUGUACAGAUGUGUCCGACAUCGAUAUGCUGUAGUGCAACUGUGUGUGUGGAAUACUACUUCCAGUACAGCAUGACAAGUGGUGAGUGUCCUCAUUUUCCCAGGGUACCAAACCAGCGGAUUGAGAAAAGAGGAAACAAGAAAGAGCAAGGUGUGAAAUGUCACUGCAUGUCAGCCUCAUUUGCCAAUAAAGUUUUCAGAAAGAAAAACUGGAAGAGGAUUCCAUCUCACUGAGGAGAAAUGACCAUCUAUCCCAAAGAAAAUGCUUAGUUGUCAGCUUUAUGCUGCUCAAAAUAAAUCAUGGCACUCUCACA